CUGGCGGCGUGCCGUAAUACAUAGCAAGUCGAGCGAACAAGAGAAGGAGCUUGCUCCUUCGACGUUAGCGGCGGACGGGUGAGUAACACGUGGGCAACCUACCUUAUAGUUGGGAGUAACUCCGGGAAACCGGGGCUAAUACCGAAUAAUCUGUUUCACUUCAUGGUGAAACACUGAAAGACGGUUUCGGCUGUCGCUAUAGGAUGGGCCCGCGGCGCAUUAGCUAGUUGGUGAGGUAACGGCUCACCAAGGCGACGAUGCGUAGCCGACCUGAGAGGGUGAUCGGCCACACUGGGACUGAGACACGGCCCAGACUCCUACGGGAGGCAGCAGUAGGGAAUCUUCCACAAUGGGCGAAAGCCUGAUGGAGCAACGCCGCCGUGAGUGAAGAAGGAUUUCGGUUCGUAAAACUCUGUUGUAAGGGAAGAACAAGUACAGUAGUAACUGGCUGUACCUUGACGGUACCUUAUUAGAAAGCCACGGCUAACUACGUGCCAGCAGCCGC
rnacentral:rRNA from 1 species